rnacentral:lncRNA from 1 species
GUUUUAGUUUGUUUGGCUAAGAUGAGGUUUUUUCUUCUGGGUCACUGACUGACUCUUCUCUAUGUACAUGUGUUAGCAGAUUUUUGCAUAAGCCUGGCCAACUUUCUUUGUCCCUUUGUUGUACUUGGAGCUUUCGGCCUGUGCUUAAGUUCUUGUGAUUCCCUUCAUCCUCACAGUGCCUAUGGAAACUGGUUCCCGGGGAGCAAGCCUCUCAUACAGCAAGCCAUGGCCAAGAUCAUGAAGGCAAACCCUGCCUUGUAUGUGUUACGUGAACGGAUACGCAAAGGAUUGCAGCUGUAUUCAUCUGAGCCCACUGAGCCUUACCUGUCCUCUCAGAACUAUGGUGAACUCUUCUCGAACCAGAUUAUCUGGUUUGUGGAUGACACCAAUGUCUAUAGAGUAACUAUCCACAAGACCUUUGAGGGGAA